rnacentral:rRNA from 1 species
GACGGAGGGGGCAAGCGUUGUCCGGAAUCACUGGGCGUAAAGCGCGUGUAGGCGGUCGUGUUCGUCGGUGCUGAAAGCGCCCGGCUUAACCGGGCGAGGCGUGCCGAUACGAUGCGACUGGAGGCAGGCAGAGGGCGGCGGAAUUCCGGGUGUAGCGGUGAAAUGCGUAGAGCUCCGGAGGAACGCCGGUGGGGUAGCCGGCCGCCUGGGCCUGACCUGACGCUGAGACGCGACAGCGUGGGGAGCAAACCGG